UACGUAGGGGGCGAGCGUUGUUCGGAAUCACUGGGCGUAAAGGGCGUGUAGGUGGAUUUGUACGUUUGAUGUGAAAGUCCUGGGCUUAACCUAGGGAUUGCAUUGAAUACGGCAAGUCUAGAGCGUGAGAGGGGAAAACGGAAUUGCGGGUGUAGAGGUGAAAUUCGUAGAUAUCCGCAGGAACACCAAUGGCGAAGGCAGCCCCCUGGGAUAAUACUGACGCUCAUGCACGAAAGCGUGGGGAGCAAACAGG
rnacentral:rRNA from 1 species